rnacentral:tRNA from 1 species
CCCUCCAUGGCUCAGACAGUGAAGCGUCUGCCUCCAAUGCAGGAGACCUGGGUUCAAUCCCUGGGGUGGGA